AUUCAGCAGAGAACAGUAAUGCCUAGCUUCCGUUUUUAACUUAACACUUCAGUAGAACAUUUUCUUCCAAGAGGGAGAUUUUGGCCUAAGUAAAGUAGUGGGCUCUUUUUUAAAAAAAAAUUAAUUUUACUUUAAUGUGAGCAAAUCUGUAUUGGUAUGGUGUUCUGCAAUGCAUUACACUGACUUUGAAAAUUUCGAGUACUAAUGCCUUAUGUCUGGGGUUACCAUUCCCUGUGCAUCACAUACUAGUUAGUUAACAUAGCAUUUUGCUUUUCCCAUGUAAUUUUUUCCCUAUAUAAUACUGGAUUCCUGAUACUAAUUGACUUGAUACAAAAGAAUGGCUGGAUGAUAUCCAGAUAACGUAUAAUACAUGGGCUUCACCACAAUCAGGCUCUGAAUAAAUACAGACCUGUCAGAGAUUGAUAAAAUAAACUACAAUGGAUAGUGCUGUUUAAACAGUCCAUUCAAUAACAUAUAUAAGCCAGCCUGCCUUCCAUUGUGUCUGAAAUUCUUAUUUUUGUAGGUAAACAAAUGCACAUUCAGCACUGAUUGAAUAGCCCCUUGAACUAUGCUCCACAGUUUGCGUUUGGGUUAAUCUUGUCGGUUUUAAUAUAGAGAGAAAAAAGCUCAAAGCACCAGGGGUGGAAUUGUUAGUGCUUUCACAUCCACAUUCCUCACAUUUUGUCAGGAUGAUAAACUGUAGGUAAUGGACUGUCGUUGUUCUGCAGGACAACUGAGCCAGGCAGAGCACAAAGACUAAGCUAAAGCGAUACCUCACAACAUGCUUGGUAGCCUUCUUUUCAGAUGAGAAUUUAUUUGAGAAUCAUGUGUCUAGGGACUGCACAUCUUAACCUCAACAGUUACAGCUUCAAGCCCCAGAAACAGGAGCUGGAGGUUAAGAUGAUUUGCUAAGCACCUGGUUCUAAAUCUUUUACAAAGCAUAAGCUGUUGACGCUGGUUCUGCCGACGCAAAGACAUGCAGAUGACUCCAACAUUUCCAGAGGCUUCUGACUUAAGCUAAAGUGUGUGGACAGGUGAAUUCGCCAUGGGCCUGGAGACCAGCUUGCUAAAAACUAUGUGUUUGAAUGGUUCCUCCAGACAGAGUCAGCUGAAGAACAAUUGGUGGAUUUAUAUUAAAACCUCUUGUCUGUAAACUUACUGAGGUGCAUCCUUCGGUUGGUGGAUCAGUGAGAUAAUUGCCUUCAGAUGGACAUUGCAACUGGAGCAACUAAAUCCUUGCUGUCUUUCCUUCCUCUGAAAUCUUCCAGGUAGCUCCCGAGAGCUUCAGUAUGACACCAAACUUCGGGCGACGUUUUAGAGUGCGUUCACCUAAUGGGAAACUAUUCGAGAUCCCAGCGUGACUGCAGUAAUGCGUCAUAGGAAUGGGAGUGGCAGGGGAAAAGGAAAUACAGAUUGUAGACCCUAAUAAAAAAAUUUUUAGGAAAGAUAUUUCUUUAACGUUUUAUGAGAACUUCAUUCUUAAAAUACUUAAUUGCAAAUUAGACAAAUAGAAGUGCUCUUCUAAGGAAGGUGAUUAAACUGGUCCUCCUAUCAGCCUAAUCUCUGCCUGCCUUUGCUGCUGACAUAAAGAACCUGUUUUUCAGGUCACUUAAUAUACAUCUACAUAGAUUUGCUUAUGAGCUCACCCUUUGUGUAGCGGAGUAGAGCCUUAAAGAGGAGUGCUCAACUGUUUAAAAUAUUUUGAUUAAAAUAUGCAGAACCCAUAGAACUAUAAGCUUCUAGUCAGGAAUUAGCUCUUUCAGGGAACAGCUCCCCCCUUCUUUUUAAGGGGGGAAUUAGAAGGAGGCUGGGGGAGGAAUAUAAGAACAGCAAAGAAGGAAGGAUAGCAAAUGGGACAUGUUCCGAACAGCU
rnacentral:lncRNA from 1 species